CUCCAAAUCAGCAUCAGACACAGGAUUGAUCUCCUUAAACUGUUCUCCAGCAGAACCUCCUGACUCUCAUUAUAGAGCAACAUGGAACUCCAUGAUUUCUGCGUGGGUUUUCCACUCUUAAACAGAAUUAAAUAGGAAAGGGGCUCGAGGACAGCCAUUCUAGAUGUGUUCACAGUCCAGACCAACUCUAAACUGUUCUUCCUUGGCGACUUCCAGUGUUGCGACAAAAUAAAACAACAGCCGUGUUUUGUAUUUCGGGUUCAAAAAGCUAGAGCAAAAAUCCAACACGGUGGUUUUUUCACCAGUUAAAUAAUACAUUUCUACAGUUAGGUUUUAAAAGCUGAAAAACAAAAAAACUUCGUGGUUUAUUGUUUUUUUGGAUUUUAUUUUGAAACAGAAAAACGAAUGAGCGAACCAUACACGGAUGCCUAUUUUCCCAUUUGGAACAAAAAAAACUCCCAAAACCAAAACAAAAUAACAAGAAAAUUCGCCCAUUUCUCCUUUUUCAAAAGUUUUGCUUCAUAUUAAAUAUAUUUUACUUCAUAUUUGCUUGACACUCAUAUGGAGCUUGUGUCUGUGUUCCUGAUAAAUGUGUGAAAAUCUGUGGUUUGGAGGUGAAAAGAAAGAAAAGCCACACAGCCAGGACUGACAUCAGGUUUUUACUACUAUAAAUAUCCCUUUAAAUACACUGAUAAAAUAAAUAAAUAAUAAAAUAGCUCAUUGGACGUUCCCAAAAACUGAGAUACAUUUUCAAAGUUCAGGAUCUCCAAACCUGAGGCAGGAAGAUAAAACAGAAGGUCGACACGAGGUUUGAUGCUACACAGUAGCCGAUAGUUUCUCAUCGGACAACUUCCACACGAUCAAUAAUCAAAGUUCAUCUGGUUUCUGAGUUACUGAUCGCAGAGCAGCGAUGUUUAACUGAAAAGUUCUGGUAGAAAAAAGUAGAGCAAAUGAUUGAGGUGAAAGAGUCCGAUCAGCUAAAGCAGCUCCAGCGAUCCCUACGGAGGCUCCAACGAUCAGUACGGAGGCACCAACGGUCUUUACGGAGGCUCCAACGAUCCAUAUAGAGCACUGGAGCCUCCGUACGGAUUGUUGGAGGCUCCAACGCUCCGUACGGAGGCUCCAAUGAUCCUUAAGGAGGCCCCAGCGAUCCGUACGGAGGCCCCAGCGAUCCGUACAGAGGCUCCAACGAUCCGUACGGAGGCUCCAGCGAUCCGUACGGAGGCCCCAGCGAUCCUUACGGAGGCCCCAGCGAUCCGUAAGGAGGCUCCAACGAUCCCUACGGAGGCCCCAGCGAUCCGUAAGGAGGCUCCAACGAUCCGUACGGAGGCCCCAGCGAUCCGUAAGGAGGCUCCAACACUUGUAUGGAGGCAUAUUUGUGCCACAAUUCUGCGACAUUUAAAACAUGAAAAUGUAAAGGAAUCAUAAUUGUGCAAAGAAAUUCUUCUCUGAUCAUUUCUCUACAAAAUCUAAACAUUUACAGAAGCAUCCUCGUAACUUUCUGUCAGGAUUCAACACCUUCGACUACAAACCAAACACCAGCUAUCAGACGGAACUCCAGCUCUAGGUGGGAAACAGAACUAUGGAGGUUUGUUAUGUUGGAAUAUUUGGAGAAUUUUACAUUAUUGAUGGUAGAGAGGAAAAGACUGGACAAGGACAAGGAAAAGGGCGGGAAAAUGGUGCUUGCUGUCCUCACAGUGAGGAAAAAUGAGCAAACAGUGAAGGAAAUUAGCUAACAAUGAGGAAAACUGAGCCUACAGUGAAGACAAACAAGCCCAUACUGAGGUGAAAUGAGUUAACAAUGAGGAAAAUCAAACUUACAGUGAAGGAAAAUGAGCCCACAGUGAGGAAAAAUGAGGCGACAGUGAAGGAAGAGAAGUCCAUAAUGAGAGUAAAUGAGCAAUCAGUGAGGAAAAUUAACAAACAGUGAGGGAAAAUGAGCUGAAAAUGAAGAAAAGCACACAAGUAGUGAGGAAAACCAAGAUUACAGUGAAGGAAAGCAAGUCCACGUUUAGGUAAAAUGACAGCAGUGAAAAACGUCCCAUCAUAUGUUCAGAAUUGAGGCACAAAUUAAACUCCAUAAAUCAAACGUCUAAUAUGGAUUGAUUAUUGAUUAUUGGAUGCUUCUUUGGGUGCUGACUUUCUCCAGGAAGAGAAGAACGUCUUCAUCUUCAGUCGGUUGGAAAGUUCUUCUUUCCUGGAGAGUUUUUAGGGAACAAAAAGAGUUUCUGGAAUAAAAUCUGUCUUUUCCAGCAAAGAUAAAACGUCUGCUGACUUUAUUACCCAGAAUGCUUUUCAACAGGCGGUCCGACCUUUAAAGGCCUAAAAGUCUGAAACCAGAAGAUCCCACUGAAGACAGGAAGUGGGAGUUUACCAGCAGGAAGUUCAGGAGUUCUCCAUGUUUUCUGUCCAGAUCCAGGUUCUAUCAAACACCGAGGCAGCAGGAACCAAAGAUCUCUAGAGGAUCAAACGUUUAUCUGGAUUCUUUAAAAUGUUAAAUCAGUGCAUCAGAGAUGGAGGAACAGCUCAGAUCAUCAGGUUUCCUUCAGUUUUAGGACAUAAAUCUUCUAUUGUGUGACAUAAAUCAUCUGUUUUUUGAAAUAAAUCUUAUGUUUGAUGACAUAAAUCUUAUUUGUUGACAGAAAUUUUCCAUUUUAUGACAAAAACUUUCUGGUUUUUGUCAUAAAUUUUAUAGUUUGACAUAAAUCUUCUGUUUUUCACAUAAAACUUCUUUUUUGACAAUCUAUUUUAUGACAUAAAUCUUCUUUUUUGAUGUCAUAAAUCUUCAGUUUAAUGAUAAAAAUAUUUGGUUUUGACAUAAAUCUUCUAUUUUAUGACAAAAAUCUCCACUUUUUGACAAAUUUUCUGUUUUUUGACAUAAAUCUUUUUUUUGAUGACAUAAAUCUUCAGUUUAAUGAGAAAAAUCCUUUGGUUUUGACACCAGUCUUCAGAUUUAUGACAUAAAACUUUUGUAAUAAAUUUUGUAGUUUUUGACAUAAAUCUUCUUUUUUGACAUAAAUCUUCAAUUUUUAAAAUUAAUUUUCUGUUUUAUGACAAAUUUUGAAUUGUUUGACAUAAAUCUUCUGUAUUUAUGACAUAGGUUUUCUAGUUUAUGAGAUAAAUCUUCUGGUUUUUGACAAAUUUUCUGUUUUCUGACCAAUUUACAAUUGUUUGACAUAAAUCCUUUUGGACAUAAAUCUUCUAGUUUUUGACAUAAAUCUGUUUUUUGGACAUAAAUCUUCUAGUUUUUGAUGUACCACAUGUCUAGCUUGUUCUGUCAGAGUUUUCUCCUCCAGAAAACUUGUUUAAACUACGUUGGAUCAUCCGACUGAUCGUGUUUCUCACCCGUCUGAUUGAUUUUCAGGGUUCGAACUGGAUUUUCUUUCAUUUCAUUCAUUCGUGUGAGCAGAACAUUCGACCAUGAGGCUGAUAAAGGCGAGUUUAGAGACGUCAGCGAACAGGAAAUAAUGAUUUUAAGGUGCUUCUGAUGAAGAAAAGAUCUGGUAACACAUGAGAAUAAAGAAAACAUCGUUCUAAUUUUUAAUAUUAUUAUUAGAUUAUUGCACCGGUGGGAUCUUUUUGUCUCUAAACAAAAUGUUUAUGAUUGAUGACAUAAAUCUUCUUUUUAUGACAGAAAUCUUCUGGUUUUUGACAGAAAUCUUGUAUUGAACAUAAAUCUUCUUUUUAUGACAUAAAUCUUAUAGUUUUAUCACAUAAACCUUUAGUUUUAUGACAUAAAUCUUCUGUUUUUUGACAGAAAUUUCCAGUUUUACGACCUAAAUCUUUUUUUGGACAUAAAUCUUGUUUUCUAUAUAAAUCUUCUCUUUAUGACAUAAAUCUUUUCGUUUUUGACAUUAAUCUUGUCAUUAAU
ensembl:lncRNA